UACGUAGGGGGCAAGCGUUGUCCGGAUUUAUUGGGCGUAAAGAGCGUGUAGGCGGCCAGGUAGGUCCGUUGUGAAAACUCGAGGCUCAACCUCGAGACGUCGGCGGAAACCAUCUGGCUAGAGUCCGGAAGAGGAGAGUGGAAUUCCUGGUGUAGCGGUGAAAUGCGCAGAUAUCAGGAAGAACACACGUGGCGAAGGCGGCUCUCUGGGACGGUACUGACGCUGAGACGCGAAAGCGUGGGGAGCGAACAGG
rnacentral:rRNA from 1 species